GACAGAGGGUGCAAACGUUGUUCGGAAUUACUGGGCGUAAAGCGCACGUAGGUGGUUUACUAAGCCAGCUGUGAAAUCCCCGGGCUCAACCUGGGCACUGCAGUUGGAACUGGUAAGCUAGAGUAGGGUAGAGGGGUGUGGAAUUCCAGGUGUAGCGGUGAAAUGCGUAGAUAUCUGGAGGAACAUCAGUGGCGAAGGCGACACCCUGGACUCAUACUGACACUGAGGUGCGAAAGCGUGGGGAGCAAACAGG
rnacentral:rRNA from 1 species